rnacentral:misc_RNA from 1 species
GAAAAAACUUAAUAAGACAAUUCGACAAUAGAAAAGUAGACGUUAACUACUUCAACUUUUAUCAUGACUACCCAAAUCAAAAUUACUUUGCAAGUUAGAUGACGAUAUUCCAUUUCAUAACAUUUAUUGCGGUUGUUAUAUUCUUAAGUGAAUAAGGCUUUCUGGUCAGUUCCCUUCUGAAAAUGGUUGUGUAACCACUUCCCAUGGCAUUGAGCAAUCAACUAAUGGUUUUAAGGCCUAAGGUAACUUUUCAUCGAGCUAAUGAGGGACCCAAGUAAUUUCGCAUAUAGGAUUUCUUUCUCAUUUUGUUUGUCCUACAUGUUAUCCCUAUCACACUUUCUCCCAACACCAACCACCCCCUUCUUCCC